AGAGUUUGAUCAUGGCUCAGGACGAACGCUGGCGGCGCGCUUAACACAUGCAAGUCGAACGGGCGUCUUCGGGCGUCAGUGGCGGACGGGUGCGUAACACGUGAGCAACCUACCUGGAGUUGGGGGAUAACCUCGGGAAACCGGGGCUAAUACCGCAUGUGCUCUGUUACCUGUAGGGGUGAUGGAGGAAAGGGGCUUUCGGGCCCUGACUCGAGAGGGGCUCGCGGCGUAUCAGCUAGCUGGUGAGGUAACGGCUCACCAGGGCGACGACGCGUAGGGGGUCUGAGAGGAUGGCCCCCCACAUUGGGACUGAGAUACGGCCCAGACUCCUACGGGAGGCAGCAGUGGGGAAUCUUGCGCAAUGGCCGAAAGGCUGACGCAGCGACGCCGCGUGCGGGAGGAAGCCCUUCGGGGUGUAAACCGCUGUCAGAGGGGGCGAAUGCCAGGGGGAGGGAAUGCCCCUUUGGAGGGACGGUACCCUCAGAGGAAGCACCGGCUAACUCCGUGCCAGCAGCCGCGGUAAUAC
rnacentral:rRNA from 1 species